UAUUCUUUUUAUUCAUAGGUAUUUGAAGGGACUUCAGGUAUAGAUGCCAAGAAAACGUCCUGUGAGUUUACUGGGGAUAUUCUCCGAACACCAGUGUCUGAGGAUAUGCUUGGUCGGGUAUUCAAUGGAUCAGGAAAACCCAUUGACAAAGGUCCCGUUGUACUGGCUGAAGACUUUCUUGAUAUUAUGGGUCAGCCCAUCAAUCCUCAGUGUCGAAUCUACCCAGAGGAAAUGAUUCAGACCGGCAUUUCAGCUAUAGAUGGCAUGAACAGUAUUG